CAUCACAUAUGCAUUUCCUGGAGAGAGUGUUGGAUGAGCUCCACUAGCUGCAUACCCAUCCCCUGGUGCACCAAAUGAAGGCUUAAGAUGUGGCGUAGCGGGCUGUUGCUGAAGGGGCCUACCAGACCUAUCAUAGCCAUAAGGCAUUGAUUCGGGACGGCUAGCAACUGGUUGAGAUACUCCAGAAAAUGGCACUUGCAUGGGCAUACUAUUGGGCAUUGUCUCAGGAGUAGGAUUUGGUUGACUAUGCAGAUAAGAGGGAUAAACAGCAGGUGAUGCAGGUCUAGCUUGCUGUUGCAUAUUUGGAAUCUGUGACUGUUGAACCUGUUGGGGUACCUGCUGUGCCCACUGCUGCUGAUAUUGGGGCAUUGAUUGGAGUUGUUGUGUCUGAUUCACCUGAGGUGCUGCACGCUGUGGUGUUACUUGCAUUUGAGGAUUUCUAUACUGCGGAUCAGACGACAAAAAUUGACCUUGAGACAACUGAGUUGGAGCUUGUUGAUUUGCCAUCUGAGGAGGGGGUAAAUAAUACCCUUGUGACUGUGGCAUACUUUGGGGUGGAAUUGAUUGUGGAGGAGGCACAGGUGGCUGUUGUGGCUGCUCCACAGGUCGGUUAGUAAGAGAAACCUGGGGUGCCACUUGAUGGGGUAGUGCAAGAGCCAGUUGCUGUCCAUGCACUUCAGGUGCGUCGUCACUUUUUUUGUCAUCAGACAGGUGUUGAGCACUUCUCUCCUCGUUUUGCUGAGAAUUGCUAGAUGAAGUUGAUCCUUUCUGUGCAAGCUGAAGCUUGGCCAGCUCCUUUUGAGUUUCGGCAAGUUCUUGUUUAUCUCUUAGAAUCUGUACAGAUCUGUGAACCUCUUGAACAUGCUUCUCUAGAGCCUUCAGUUUUGAAUCUGCCUCACCGUGAUCCCGAACUAAAUCAGAGCGCAUUUCUCCAAUAGACUUAUCAAGAUUGUAACAGUAUAAUUCCAACUGUGACAAGCGUGAACUGAUCCCCUCUAGGAAGCGCAUGAGAUUGUCCGUAUAUUUCUUCAUGGUCUUCUCAAUAGUACAUAUCAUGUCUUGGUUGAAGGAAGAUUCUUCUGGAGGACUAUAUGCUGGAGCAGGAAACAUUGAUGACCUUGUCAUUCUGCUUUUGUGGAACUCCUUAGCAGAAUUGGCAGCGAUUACAGAAUCAGAGUGUGUUCCAUUAGAGGGAUCUUGAUUAGCAUAAUCUUCAUAGGAACAAAGUAUAUCAUCCGAUGCAAAAUCAAAACCCUUAGAACCCGCAUUGUUUGACCUACCAGAUGAUCCAGAUGCCAU
rnacentral:misc_RNA from 1 species